rnacentral:tRNA from 1 species
GGCCUCGUGGCUCAGCUGGUAGAGGGUGCGCGUAAAAAGCGAAGGUCCAUGGAUUCGAAUCUCACCGAGGCUA